rnacentral:rRNA from 1 species
GUAGUGUUCCUCGCAUGCUUUUGACGGGUAACGGGGAAUUAGGGUUCGACUCCGGAGAGGGAGCCUGAGAAACGGCUACCACAUCCAAGGAAGGCAGCAGGCGCGCAAAUUACCCAAUCCCGAUACGGGGAGGUAGUGACAAGAAAUACCGAUUCAGGAUCUUAUUGGAUCUUGAGAUUGGAAUGAGUACAAUUCAAACCCAUUAACGAGGAACAACUAGAGGGCAAGUCUGGUGCCAGCAGCCGCGGUAAUUCCAGCUCUAGUAGCGUAUAUUAAAAUUGUUGCAGUUAAAACGCUCGUAGUUGAACUUUGGGCUUGGCUGGCUGGUCCGCCUCACCGCGUGCACUGGUCCGGCUGGGCCUUUCCUCUUGGGGAUCCACAUGCCCUUCACUUGGGUGUGUUGGGGAACCAGGACUUUUACUUUGAAAAAAUUAGGGUGUUCAAAGCAGGCAUUUGCUCGAAUACAUUAGCAUGGGAUAAUAGAAUAGGACGUGCGGUCUUAUUUUGUUGGUUUCUAGGACCGCCGUAAUGAUUGAUAGGGAUAGUUGGGGGCAUCGGUAUUCAAUUGUCAGAGGU